CUACGGGAGGCAGCAGUGGGGAAUCUUGCGCAAUGGGCGAAAGUCUGACCCAGCCAUGCCGCGUGGAGGAUGAAGGUCCUCUGGAUUGUAAACUUCUUUUAUCUGGGAAGAAACCCCCGCGUUCUCGCAGGGUUGACGGUACCAGAUGAAUAAGCACCGGCUAACUCCGUGCCAGCAGCCGCGGUAAUACGGAGGGUGCAAGCGUUAUCCGGAUUCACUGGGUUUAAAGGGUGCGUAGGCGGAUUGGGAAGUCCGUGGUGAAAUCCCCGAGCUUAACUUGGGAACUGCCGUGGAUACUCUCAAUCUUGAAUAUCGUGGAGGUAAGCGGAAUAUGUCAUGUAGCGGUGAAAUGCUUAGAUAUGACAUAGAACACCAAUUGCGAAGGCAGCUUGCUACACGGUCAUUGACGCUGAGGCACGAAAGCGUGGGGAUCAAACAGGAUUAGAAACCCGUGUAGUCC
rnacentral:rRNA from 1 species